rnacentral:rRNA from 1 species
CGAAAGCCUGACGGAGCAACGCCGCGUGUGGGAAGAAGGCUCUUGGGCUGUCAACCACUUUUCUCAGGGAAGAAGCUCUGACGGUACCUGAGGAAUCAGCCUCGGCUAACUCCGUGCCAGCAGCCGCGGUAAUACGGAGGAGGCAAGCGUUAUUCGGAAUUAUUGGGCGUAAAGCGUCCGCAGGGGGCUCAUCAAGUCUGCUGUCAAAGGUCGGAGCUCAACUCCGGUUCGGCAGUGGAAACUGGUGGGAUAGAGGGCGACAGGGGUAGAGGGAAUUCCCAGUGUAGCGGUGAAAUGCGUAGAGAUUGGGAAGAACACCGGUGGCGAAAGCGCUCUACUGGACCAUCACUGACACUCAGAGACGAAAGCUAUGGUAGCG